rnacentral:rRNA from 1 species
GACGAACGCUGGCGGCGUGCUUAACACAUGCAAGUCGAACGGAAAGGCCUCUUUCGGGGGGAACUCGAGUGGCGAACGGGUGAGUAACACGUGAGUAACCUGCCCUUGACUUUGGGAUAACUUCAGGAAACUGGGGCUAAUACCGGAUAGGAGCUCCUGCUGCAUGGUGGGGGUUGGAAAGUUUCGGCGGUUGGGGAUGGACUCGCGGCUUAUCAGUUUGUUGGUGGGGUAGUGGCUUACCAAGGCUUUGACGGGUAGCCGGCCUGAGAGGGUGACCGGCCACAUUGGGACUGAGAUACGGCCCAGACUCCUACGGGAGGCAGCAGUGGGGAAUAUUGCACAAUGGGUGGAAGCCUGAUGCAGCAACGCCGUGUGCGGGAUGACGGCCUUCGGGUUGUAAACCGCUUUCGCUCAUGACGAAGCUUUGUGUGACGGUAGUGGGUAAAGAAGCACCGGCUAACUACGUG